UCACUUUCAAGUUGAGUACUCAUAAUCCUUUACAAAGAUUUUAUGUGGGUAUUGUGAUUUUCUUCUUGAAUAGGAAGAUCUGAUGC